CAGGCCUAACACAUGCAAGUCGAACGGUGAAGCCCAGCUUGCUGGGUGGAUCAGUGGCGAACGGGUGAGUAACACGUGAGUAACCUGCCCCUGACUCUGGGAUAAGCCUUGGAAACGAGGUCUAAUACCGGAUACGAGACGCUCGGGCAUCCGAAGUGUCUGGAAAGAUUUAUCGGUCAGGGAUGGACUCGCGGCCUAUCAGCUUGUUGGUGGGGUAGUGGCCCACCAAGGCGACGACGGGUAGCCGGCCUGAGAGGGCGACCGGCCACACUGUGGACUGAGACACGGCCCAGACUCCUACGGGAGGCAGCAGUGGGGAAUAUUGCACAAUGGGCGCAAGCCUGAUGCAGCGACGCCGCGUGAGGGAUGAAGGCCUUCGGGUUGUAAACCUCUUUCAGCAGGGAAGAAGCGCAAGUGACGGUACCUGCAGAAGAAGCGCCGGCUAACUACGUGCCAGCAGCCGCGGUAAUACGUAGGGCGCAAGCGUUGUCCGGAAUUAUUGGGCGUAAAGAGCUCGUAGGCGGUUUGUCGCGUCUGCUGUGAAAACUCGAGGCUCAACCUCGGGCUUGCAGUGGGUACGGGCAGACUAGAGUGCGGUAGGGGAGACUGGAAUUCCUGGUGUAGCGGUGGAAUGCGCAGAUAUCAGGAGGAACACCGAUGGCGAAGGCAGGUCUCUGGGCCGCAACUGACGCUGAGGAGCGAAAGCAUGGGGAGCGAACAGGAUUAGAUACCCUGGUAGUCCAUGCCGUAAACGUUGGGCACUAGGUGUGGGGCUCAUUCCACGAGUUCCGUGCCGCAGCAAACGCAUUAAGUGCCCCGCCUGGGGAGUACGGCCGCAAGGCUAAAACUCAAAGAAAUUGACGGGGGCCCGCACAAGCGGCGGAGCAUGCGGAUUAAUUCGAUGCAACGCGAAGAACCUUACCAAGGCUUGACAUACACCGGAAACUUCCAGAGAUGGUUGCCCCGCAAGGUCGGUGUACAGGUGGUGCAUGGUUGUCGUCAGCUCGUGUCGUGAGAUGUUGGGUUAAGUCCCGCAACGAGCGCAACCCUCGUCCUAUGUUGCCAGCGGGUCAUGCCGGGGACUCAUAGGAGACUGCCGGGGUCAACUCGGAGGAAGGUGGGGAUGACGUCAAAUCAUCAUGCCCCUUAUGUCUUGGGCUUCACGCAUGCUACAAUGGCCGGUACAAAGGGCUGCGAUACCGCGAGGUGGAGCGAAUCCCAARAAGCCGGUCUCAGUUCGGAUUGGGGUCUGCAACUCGACCCCAUGAAGUCGGAGUCGCUAGUAAUCGCAGAUCAGCAACGCUGCGGUGAAUACGUUCCCGGGCCUUGUACACACCGCCC
rnacentral:rRNA from 1 species